rnacentral:rRNA from 1 species
UACGUAGGGUGCAAGCGUUGUCCGGAAUUAUUGGGCGUAAAGAGCUUGUAGGCGGUUUGUCGCGUCUGCUGUGAAAUUUCGGGGCUCAACCCCGAACUUGCAGUGGGUACGGGCAGACUAGAGUGUGGUAGGGGAGACUGGAAUUCCUGGUGUAGCGGUGAAAUGCGCAGAUAUCAGGAGGAACACCAAUGGCGAAGGCAGCACUCUGGGACGUGACUGACGCUGAGACGCGAAAGCGUGGGGAGCAAACAGG